rnacentral:rRNA from 1 species
ACUAAACAGCUAGCUCAAGCAUUAAAACUAAAAUUAACAACAUAACCCAACCACCAAAAACUAACAACAUCAACUAAACCAUUCGACCACCCUAGUACGGGCGACAGAAAAGGACUAAUGAAGC